UGACUACUCCCUCCGUCUCAAAAUUCUUAUCUUAUAUUUGUCUACAUAUGAAUGUAUCUAAUCAUGUUUUAGUAUUUAGUUACAUCCAUUUCUAAAUAAACCUAAGACAAGAAUUUUGAGACGAAGGGAGUAUAUC
rfam:Hordeum vulgare subsp. vulgare, WGS project CAJW01000000 data, contig: morex_contig_5719